rnacentral:lncRNA from 1 species
AUUUACAUAUUAAUUAGUUAUAGUCAAAAAAUAUAGUUACGAGCUAAUUUCACAAUGGACGCAUUUGGUUUGGAUUAAUUAUUCAGUCAGGAUUAUAGACAAUCAUGUCAGAAUUAUUACGAUUGUUUAUCCAAUCUGUAGUCUGAUCGAUAAUGUAGCAUUACAAAUGGUGUAAAAUUACUCCGAAAAUAUUACUUAACGUAGUAUUACUGAUAGCAGAUAAUCUUAUAUAUUAUGUAAAAUUAUAAAUUUAUCCUUCCAACCCUUUCCAAACUCUUUAAAUACAUCAUUUUUAUAUACUUUAUUUUCAAUGUUAAUGAAUUUUAUAAACUGAAACAAAUAUAGUAAUUUUAUAUACACUGUACGUAAUCGAACAUUAUAUAUAUUACUAUAUCAAACUAAAUACGGUAAUGCAGUAUCAGUAAUAAUAUAGUUCAGAAAUCUCAGAUAUCUAGUUAUAUCGAAAUAACCUGUAAUACUAUCUAACAAGAACCAAACGCAUCCAAAGUGUAA